UAGCUAGUUGGUGAGGUAAAGGCUUACCAAGGCGACGAUCUGUAGCGGGUCUGAGAGGAUGAUCCGCCACACUGGAACUGAGACACGGUCCAGACUCCUACGGGAGGCAGCAGUGGGGAAUUUUGGACAAUGGGGGCAACCCUGAUCCAGCCAUGCCGCGUGAGCGAAGAAGGCCUUCGGGUUGUAAAGCUCUUUCGGCCGGGAAGAAAUCGCAUGGGCCAAUACCCUGUGUGGAUGACGGUACCGGAAUAAGAAGCACCGGCUAACUACGUGCCAGCAGCCGCGGUAAUACGUAGGGUGCGAGCGUUAAUCGGAAUUACUGGGCGUAAAGCGUGCGCAGGCGGUUUUGUAAGACAGGCGUGAAAUCCCCGGGCUUAACCUGGGAACUGCGUUUGUGACUGGAAGGCUAGAGUACGGCAGAGGGGGGUGGAAUUCCACGUGUAGCAGUGAAAUGCGUAGAGAUGUGGAGGAACACCAAUGGCGAAGGCAGCCCCCUGGGUCGAUACUGACGCUCAUGCACGAAAGCGUGGGUAGCAAACAGGAUUAGAUACCCUGGUAGUCCACGCCCUAAACUAUGUCAACUAGGUGUUGGGUGGGUAAAACCAUUUAGUACCGUAGCUAACGCGUGAAGUUGACCGCCUGGGGAGUACGGCCGCAAGGUUAAAACUCAAAGGAAUUGACGGGGACCCGCACAAGCGGUGGAUGAUGUGGAUUAAUUCGAUGCAACGCGAAAAACCUUACCUACCCUUGACAUGCCAGGAACUUGCCAGAGAUGGCUUGGUGCCCGAAAGGGAGCCUGGACACAGGUGCUGCAUGGCUGUCGUCAGCUCGUGUCGUGAGAUGUUGGGUUAAGUCCCGCAACGAGCGCAACCCUUGUCGUUAAUUGCCAUCAUUUAGUUGGGCACUUUAACGAGACUGCCGGUGACAAACCGGAGGAAGGUGGGGAUGACGUCAAGUCCUCAUGGCCCUUAUGGGUAGGGCUUCACACGUCAUACAAUGGUCGGUACAAAGGGUUGCCAAGCCGCGAGGCGGAGCCAAUCCCAGAAAGCCGAUCGUAGUCCGGAUUGCAGGCUGCAACUCGCCUGCAUGAAGUCGGAAUCGCUAGUAAUCGUGGAUCAGCAUGUCACGGUGAAUACGUUCCCGGGUCUUGUACACACCGCCCGUCACACCAUGGGAGCGGGUUCCGCCAGAAGUAGGUAGCCUAACCGCAAGGGGGGCGCUUACCACGGCGGGGUUCGUGACUGGGGUGAAGUCGAACAAGGUAGCCGUAGGGGAACCUGCGGCUG
rnacentral:rRNA from 1 species